rnacentral:rRNA from 1 species
CCUACGGGUGGCAGCAGUGAGGAAUAUUGGUCAAUGGACGAGAGUCUGAACCAGCCAUGCCGCGUGAAGGUCAGUGCCCUAUGGGCGUUAAACUUCUUUUGUGCGGGAGCAAUAAUGGUCACGUGUGGCCAGACGAGAGUACCGUACGAAUAAGCAUCGGCUAACUCCGUGCCAGCAGCCGCGGUAAUACGGGGGGUGCAAGCGUUAGCAGGAUUGAUUGGGUUUAAAGGGUGCGUAGGCUGUGAGGUAAGUCAGCGGUGAAAUGCCCCGGCUCAACGGGGUGAAGUGCCAUUGAUACUGGCUUGCUUGAAUGCGGAUGCGGUGGGAGGAAUGUGUGGUGUAGCGGUGAAAUGCAUAGAUAUCACACAGAACACCGAUUGCGAAGGCAUCUCACGAAUCCGCGAUUGACGCUGAUGCACGAAAGCGUGGGUAUCAAACAGGAUUAGAUACCCCAGUAGUC